rnacentral:rRNA from 1 species
UACGGGGGGAGCAAGCGUUGUUCGGAUUUACUGGGCGUAAAGGGCGCGUAGGCGGCCACCGCAAGUCGACUGUGAAAUCUCCGGGCUUAACCCGGAAAGGUCAGCCGAUACUGCGGGGCUAGAGUGCAGAAGGGGCAACUGGAAUUCUCGGUGUAGCGGUGAAAUGCGUAGAUAUCGAGAGGAACACCUGCGGCGAAGGCGGGUUGCUGGGCUGACACGUGACGCUGGAGGCGCGAAGCUAGGGGAGCGAACGGGGAUUAGAAACCCCCAGUAGGU